UUUUUUUUUUUUGCGGUUAUAUCUCAAUGACCUGACGGAGCCAACAAGGAAUUGUGGCAUGCAUUGAGUCAUUGUUUGUCUAAAAUGUUGCAGUAUUUUGCACCUCUUUUACAGACAACGGAAAAACACUGCAGUGAUGUUCUAUGUGAGCUGAAAAAAAUGUUACUUGGAGGUGGGGAUUCCAUUUUACAAUGUUAGAUCAUUUUUUACACGGUGGUUAAAUCACCUUAGCACUGACACCUAUUUUCUUUUGUUGCGGGUAAACUCACCUGACUGACACCUGUCAUAGCGCUGUUUUUACGGCUGCAGUGCCAUCUGAAUAUUUCCUUUGAGCCUGGGGAGCACCAAAAAUCCACCCGCUGAUUCAAGGAUCGAGCAGUAGUAAUUUGCUUGUAAUAACAAUACAGAAAAAGAGAAGGAUUCAUGCUGCCCGAGAGGGGCGGUGACGGGUCGACAACGCAUUGCAUGCAGGUUGAGGCAUCAGAUCAAGCGUGAGGGGCCGAGAGAGCUACAGGAGCUGGCCGUAGCCAUACCUCUUUACUGAAAGUGGCGCCGUCGUGUCGCCGUUUGCGUCAGUUCACUUCACUAAAAGUGGAUCCUGAUUCCUGAUUUGAACGCGGAUGUGAGCUAGCGAGGAGGCCGGUUUCUUCUUCUUCUUCGUUGCACGACGAAAUUCAGAUUAUUGUCCAUCUCUUGUAAACCCAUAUCGUAAGAGUAAGAUGGCCUCAGUUUAGAGCAUGAGGUCCUUGUGUAGGCAAAGCAAGCCAUGCAUGUGUAAACGUGAAACUGAAAUUCUUACACUUGUACAAAGAUGACAAUUUCAGACAAGAAAUUAAGCGGACAAUCUCAUCAUUUUUGCACACGAGGGGGCACAUAGUCAGGCGGUUUAUUCUCUAUAGAGUUACUCUGCUGCUACUAGCAUCAGAAGGCACUGAUCCAGGAUUCAGAACAUACGAACCGAAAGCUUCAAACAACUACUGGAAAAAGUAAACAACUCCAUUCUCCUCAUCGUUGUGCCAUGCAUGCCGGUGAUGAGCACGCCAACGCCGUACGGCUGAUACACUUGAUCGCCCGCACCGAUCACUCCACGAAGGAGCCGUCCAGCUUGCGGACCUGCACCUUGAGCUCGUGGUCCUCGCCGUCGCUCCCGCGGAGCGCGCGGAAGAAGCAGGUGUCGCCGACGGUGAGGCGGUUGUCCACCAGGAACUGGUGCCACCCGUACUGGCAUCGUCGUCGCGCUGGUAGUGCCUGCGGCACAUGCUCAUGUCGAACACCUUGACGGUGAGCACGGCGUCGCCGUCGAAGCUGAACACGAGGAAGUAGCCGAGCCGCAGGUCGUGCGCGCGGGCGAACUGCUCCCAGCCGCGCCCUAGGUACAUGUGGCCGUCGGCGUCCAGCACCACCUUCACGUCCCACAGGCUGCGGCGCCCGCUGCCGGCCUCCCGCAGCUUCACUUCCCGGGGCUCACGUCCGGCGAGCACCUUGGCGAACUUGUCUGGCAUCCUCUGCGACGUGGCGUGGGUCAAGCAGCAGUUGGAAUUGAACAAGUGUUGAACCAACCAAACCAAAGUACCAAACCCAGAGCCCAAUGACCAAGCAUCACGGUGUAGAACCCAGAAACGUACGUACCAGUUUCUUCAAGGACUUGGAGAGCAUGAUGAUGAAGAACUCGAAACCUGACGAGUCAAUGGGAAAGGCCUUCUCCUCUUCCAUCGUAGUCGUAGCAAAACCCUCUGCUUCUUCUUCUUCCUCCUCCUCCUUGCCUCUGCCCUCUCCUCUCAAUAGUGUGAAGCAAUCAUAUAGGGAAGGAAAAGCAGCGAUGUAACAACAGAUUCCUCCUGCUUUAUUCACGUGUGUAGAAAGACGGCAGCAAUACGGCUUGUUGGGGCUACUUCAGGAACAUCUCCAGCCAUUACGUGUCGAGCUCCAGUGGUGGGCUGCCUAUGUAUUGUGAGCUCCUAAUUAACUGGCCUAGCAACAAGGGCAUAAUCAAACAUCAGAGGCGGUACCAAACACCUUUCAACCCCACCAUAUACAGGAAAUGAAAUAACGUAUUUGUAUAAUCAUCCGCAAUACAGGCAGUCACAUGGCGGGACAUACCCGAAUAAGAAACCAACAGAUUUUAAACUGAAAAUAAACUCAGCAAUCUCAUGUGCAAUCAGGCCUACUGUCUCAUUGCCCAUAUAGGGAAUACUAUACCAGAACUUCAAAGGCCAGCGAUAGGAAGACAAAUGUUUCUUUACCAUCAUAGGAUUGCAGACAAAUCUUGCUGCCACCGAAAGUGCUCGGCCAAUAGAAAUAAGAUGGUGUAGGCUUAGACAGGAGAGUACAUAAUAUGCUGAUAGUCAAUGACUGUAGAUCCACAUGAAAGAGACAGUCUACUCAUUUUUGUAUGUUUUGUAUUUAUUGACUUCUUUACCGAAUCAGAUUGUGGGGAGACUGAUAUAUACAAAGAUUACAAUUACUUCCGACUAAUGAGGAAAAAAUAAGUUCACUCGCAAAACUAGCGUAAAUCAAUGCCUUCAUCCAGGGCUGUGGAGCCCAUCAUCACAUUUGAAUCAAUCUGCUUGUCAAACUUCUUCCUUCUGCGUGCUUCAAACUCCCCGAAUCCAUCCAUCUGCAACAGAUGAGAAAGGGAAUUAGGAUUAAAAUUAAAAUUAAAAUUAAAAUAGUGUUGAUUCAGUUGCAGGAAUCUGUAGCGUCCUCAUGUCACUAACUUGCUGAAACUGGUCCAUCGAGAUUGGGUUGCUGUGCAGUGACAAGUUCUGAAGAGCCUUGCAAUCCUUCAGCAAGUUUGGGGGAAGCUGCAGCCAAAAAAGGAGUUUGAGGAUGGAUCAUGGAUGGCUCCUUAAUUGCUUCUUCUUUCAUAAUGGCAUGGACAAUAUGUACAUAAAGUGCACAAGAUAGUCAAAGAUGCCAAAUAAAUUCACUGGCACAUACCUGACGAAUUUUGUUUCCAUUCAAUGAUACAGAUUUGAGGCAAGCAAGGUUGCAAAUUGAUGAGGGCACAUCUUCGAUUGUAUUUCCUGAAUAUUAUUUAGCAUGAAGGUUAGCCAGAGGUAGCUUUGCUCAACACAUAAAGCCGAACAGCAUUAUCCUAAGAGGCAGUGAUUUGACAACCGUAAAUUAUUUGCAGACUAGCAAAUGGUAAUCACUACUUAAUCGACAUUUAAACUUCUGGAUAUUUGUAGACGCUAAGGCAAGAUAACAUUCAUAGCAAAGUAAUCAUUACUAGAUCGACAUUUAACGUCCUGAACAUUUGUAGGCAAGAAGGCAAGAUAACAUUCACAGCAUGGUAAUCAUUAGUAAAUCAACAUUUACAUUUCUAGACAUCUCAUUUAUAUAAAUGGUACAAGUUCUUAAUUUUAUGAAAGAAAAGUUCAUCAAAAACAUACAUCCAUUAACAUGAAAAUAAUGAUAGUAAGCAAAUCUUAAGUUGAUUAACCGGUUCCUUCAUUCAUCCAGAGCACAGCUAGUUGAGCUGAUCCAUACCACUUUCAGGCUCUGAGAAGGUAAUAUCAAUGAUCUCUGCGCCAAAUGUCAAGGUAAUGUCGAUGAUCACUGUGCCAAAUGUUGAUUUAGUAUUGAUUUCUCUGCUGUGAUUGGUGCCUUGCCUUCUCCAGUUCUAUAUUUUUCUUCUUUGUAUAUAUUGCGAAGUGUUGAAAUUACUAGGUACAGAUGUACUUUGUUGAUUUUGUAUGGACAAUUAUCGAAAUUGUAUCACCUUUAUGUUUCUUAUAUCCCGUAUUGACAAAUUAUGGAAGCUCUACCAUUUCCAUGUUUCUUGUGCUAUUUAUUAGUCGGAACGUACCUUGCCUGGCCAGUGGCCACGAUUACUAGUGCAAGCAAAAAAGCGGAGAACAGGAAACUCAAAUUAUAUAGGACUAGUAGUAUUACAGAAACAAGCGGGUUUUACCAUUAGCCUGCAAUUCUUCCAGGGACUUGCAGCCUCCUAUUGAUUCGGGAAGGGCAUUUAGUUUGUUAUCAGAUACAUUGAGUAGCAGCAUCUGCAUCAGUCAAACACAAAAUGAUGGUAAGCUAUUGACAACAACACGACAUAGAUCCACAAUACCAAAAAAGGAUAACACUAGGGCAUUGACCAUUACAAAAAAAAUACGCUUUUGAAUAUUUAAUGGUGAUACAAAAUGAUGAAAUGCACACUGAAUCAAUUUCAUAAAUUAACUUAUUUUGACAAAACAGAAAACAAAGAAUACUCCUGUUGUGAAACAAAAAUCAAUACUGACUGCAUCUUUAUGAUUUUCGGAAAUGAGACAUGCUUGAAAACAAGUCUUUUGCGGAGAUAGGCUAAGUUUGGCAUAUUGAACCAAAUAAAAAACUUACAUUGCACAAAUCCCCAACACUUUUAGGUAGGCACAGUAAAGAAUUCUGAGAAACUGUAAGCUGCUGAAGAUUUGAUAGAGAACCCACUGAAUGGGAAAAAAAGAUCAUGUGAGAAAACGGAAACAAAAGUUAGUAGAAUAAUGGUAUGAAAGUCAUAACUCUGUACUAACUCCUUGUUAGGGCAAGGUUUUAGACUAGAGCCUAGGCCACCUUUGUUAUGUACUAAUAAAAUAAUAAACCUAGGUAAUACUUUGCUUGUUUCACUUCAAUUCUUACAAAUAAUAUAGAUAAGAUGUAUGAACUAACAUUCUUCAGGCAAGACAGUGAUCCUAUUUCUGUCAAGCGUGAGGAUUUUAAGGUUCCGCAGGUAUCCAAUAUUAGCUGGAAUGUUUUCAAUCAAAUUACCAGCCAAAACCUACAGGAACAAGAGAAAACAUCACUAUCAAGCCGCCAUUACUGAGAAUAAACAAAUGGAAGAAUCGUUGCUUGCAAAUACACAUCUCUAAAAAAAUCCAGGACGGUUUUUACUAAGAAUGCUUACCAGCCUUUGCAUAUUCACAAUGGUACCAACUUCCUGGGGAACCUCAACUGCAAAAUAAAAAGAACGAAUUGUCGUUGCUCAAGAAAAUACAAUUACAAACAUCAAAGAUGUGAAAACAGCUUAUGCAGUUUCAGGCAAGACAGCUUAUUCAGAACAAGGAAUUCAGCCCAAGUAAGAUGCUAAAAUAAUCUUGCCCAGCACGGGUUUUGGAUAAGUUGUAUCCACAAACUGGUAGAAAAAGAAAUGCAAGAAAAUAAAGGGUCCAAUUGUAGCAAGUUGGCUUGAAAUAAAGCAAUUGCUCACAUUGUGAAGUGAAAAAUAAAUGUGCAUAUAACUUCCAACCAGUUUCUUUCUGACUAAGUACAAGAAAGUGAGACAAUACCAAGCAUUAAUGUCUAUCACCCUGAAUGGAGAUAACUACUUGAAAUUUCUGAUUACCUAUCUUGUUAUUUGUCAAAUCCAGAGUUCUAAGGGAAUUUCCCACUUGCAGAACUUCAUGUGGUACCACCUGCAUGGAAUGAUAUUAAGCAACUCUGGAAGAGAAGUGCAAUGUUACAGUAAGAAGUGCAGAAAAGCACCCUUUUUCAUGUAGACAUAAUAAGUUCACUUAUAAGCUAAAUAUUUGAAAUAUGAGAACAAUCUAAUAGGAAAUAUUUAUACGAGGAAAAACAACUGAGUAAGCACCAUAUGGAUUUCAUUUAGUGAACCAGUACCGAUAUCAAGCCCUUGUGCUGCUGACCUGAGGAGCCAUGUGUUUUCUGGCUCCUUGCUGGAUUUCAGAAGGCCAUGGACAGCGGUACAGAAGGUAGCGCUCAACACAGACACCACCUUCUGUUGGAAGUUCACACUUCACGCACAUGCGGGUAUUGCUCAUCAUCUUAGGCAUACAGGAUUCAGUUCCUAGGCUUAAUGUGAAGCUGAGAUUUCGAAGGUCUGGGCAUCAACAGCAGAGUGGCGUCUUCAUGUGUGGUUAGAAAAUUGAAUACUGACAGCAGACCGCUGCUAGCAAGCCAAUAGCCCAGCACCUAUAUAUGCCCUCUAUGCAUCGAAAACUGUUCACCCACCUAUGUGCUAGAAACCAAUUCGUGUGGCAGUUAUGGGACAAGCUGCUGCUAUGACGGCUUCACUCCUUCAGGGAAAAUUACUUGGUAUACUGGAGGUUUGCCUCCCUAAUUGACGAGCUACAUUCAACUGGCAGUAAGCGCUCUCGGUCCUGUUAAUGCUUGUAGUUUGGGAAGCUUCGAGCAGAGAAGCAGGCGUAUGAUUCAGACAAAAGAAGCUUCCAUCAAUGCGUUUUCCGAGAAUUAAAAAUAAAAAAGACGAGGCAAACGCCUGGCUGUUGGCCAGGGCACGACACCUGCCAACACAAUUGGGGCCUCUGUGUGGCUGGGUGAAACAACUAGUGCUUACCUCAUUAGCCUCACCAUUUUGGUUUUCAAGGAUACUCAUCAUUUUGGUUUUCAUCCGCUUUCAAGCUACAGGUGCUUACCUGCAGUUUGUAACUUUGUAUUUUUCUCAUCAUCUAUCAAUGAAACUGUCAGAUAGCCUUUUGAUUUAAAAAAAUGUUAACUUAGAAGUACAUCGUUGCAGGCUUGCAGCAGUAACAUCGGUACACAUGGGUACAUUUUAGGCAUACCUUUAGCAGUACUCUAGAGUUCCCAGAAUGCUCAAUUUUGGAGUGCCAAGUAUGAUAAUCUUCCUAAGGUUGCAUUUCUUAUAAUAUAAUGACUAAAACCAGCCAUUAAAGGUGGCAAGUUAAAUGCUUAUCUGUUUAUCGUGUCAGCUAAAAGGUUAUUUCAGCCAAAAGAAAAGCAACACAGUUCCAAGUUAGUGCAUCACCACAUAGGAUGGCAUACUUUUAACUUUUAUAUCGGCAAAAUUGCGCUUUCCUUCCACCUAGGAAUCCUCCAUGGAUACUCAACCAGUUAAUCAAACGGGCGAUGUACCAUCACUCAGAAAAGCAUCGUCGCUCGUACUCUCAACGUAUAAUCAUCCGACAUUCAGGGGAGCUGAUGCGGUGGACGCCCCCAAAAUGUCAAUUUACAGGAAAGGGGAGGGGGGGCUGUGGGCGAGGAUAACCUUCAGUUUGGCGUCCCGGAGGGCGACGAUCCCGGUGGAGCGCCAGCGCGUGACGCGGGUGGCCGGCGAGUCCGAGCUCCGGCUGCUGCAGCAGCCCAUCUCCGCCGCCGCCGCCGCCCGUCGCCCGCGCGAGGGCGAAACUCGCAGAUGCUUUCCCCUCCGAUUGUGGAAGAGAUUUUGUUUCAGGGGGAGGGGCGGGCGACGACUUCGGCGAGGAGGCAGUUGGGGGCGGCCGGCGGGAUCUGCCUUGACCUCGUCCACUCGCUGUCAGCUGGGACCACCGCUGGGUGCCUCUCCCCGCAGGGCUGCGGGUCCCCGUGCUGCUUACCUGGCAUCUCGAUCUUGUCAAACGGUUAUCUAUGAGACUGACAGUGGCAGGCAACAGACCAAUUUUUGAUUAUUUUUUAUUAUUAUGAACAGACAAGAUUGCCUCUUUGUAAAUUUGCAAUUCUACACUUCCAGUUUUUUUUUACAGUAACUAGACUUUAUUUCCCAUAUAUGCCAUAUCGUAUAUCAAAAGAUGACAAAUAAAGUCAAGGAUCACAACAUCCCAAGAACCAGAAGAUUUCGAGCUAAAGGAUUGUCUGGCUAAUUCAUCCGGUACCUAAUUGGCUUACAAAAACUUUUAAGGGCAUCGAUGUUUUCUCCAGAGUUUGGAUCACAAGGCCUUUUUACCAGCUGACGGCGCUGCCACAAGAGGAACCAUGUUGCAACUACCGCCAGUUGUGCCAUCGGGAGCCCAUCAACAACAUCACUGAGUUUUAUUAAAAACUCCAUGGUGACUGAUCCUGAUCUGUCAUUUGCAAUUGCUCUCUGUAGAGUGUCCGAAAAUCCCAGCUGAUCACACUUCUUUUACGCGGCAACAACUGAAAAGAGUAUGCCAUCUUCGGCAUGAGCCAAACAGUGCGGGCAUCUUCAUUGACUCCAUUGCUCUUACCGUUUCAUCUGAUUUUAUUUUUUAAAUGUCUCUAGAAUGCUUUGAAAAUUGUAACCAGCUAGUUUUGAUUAAACAAAAACUCUUGGGUGUGUUUUGUGAAUUAACAAUAGGAUUACCAACUGUAAAACAAAAUCAUCUUGUAGUUUUGUAUGGUCAUCUUAAUUGUCAAAUUAUCUUUGAAUACUUGCCCAUUGUACAAGGAAAAUAUCUAAUAUGAAAAAUCAAUUAAGACGUCCAUUCAUUUGGGCACCCUUGCCUUUUGCGAUAGGGGAUGAUCGGCUCGGCUACCAUUUCUCCCUCCAUCCAUGGCAGCUAGAAAUCACGAGUGCCAUCUUCUCCGGUCCGGUUAUGAAGGUGAUGUUCUAUCGUUAGCAAUGGCGCACCACCAUUCUUGACCAAAGUGAAAUUGCACCACUCAUCCGUAUGCAGCUGAACGAGGUCCAGUAGGGUUGGAAACAUGGACAUUCAGGGUAGUCACCUAGAACAAGAUAUGAGAUAAGGCACGCGAUUUUGGGUUAGGCAACAAUCAUAUCAAAGGACUAGCGCAUUUAAUUCAUGCUUACGGGUACAGCACACUUGAGCAAACUAGCUAAUUAGAAUGUGACCUCAGAAUUGUUCAAUACUUCUCCAGGAGUCAAAAUGCAUACAAGCUUAUCUGGAAAAAAUUAACUAAAUAAUCAUUUAAAAAUUAUUAGACCCUUACCAAGCAUAUUUGCAGACAUAGCCUUUCUAGCUACACAAAAUGGUCUUAGACUAGUCACAAUGGUGAGUAACAUACACUAGUAACAUACACAUAUCCCUAGACUAUGUUACUACCUUCAUAGUGGGUAGUAACAUAAGUGUGGUGACAUGCAAAGCUUCAUUUAUUAGGUUAUAGACUCAUAUUGCAUCGGGGCAUGUGAUGUUACAGUAACUAGCUAAGUUACUAUAACUACCUCUCUCCUCAUUAACUCACUGCCACAUAAGCAAAUUUGCUGAGUUGGACUCGAUGUUACUGCUGAAGUUACUCCCACUGUGGCUAGUCUUAUGUUGCACAAGAAAAACUACUGCACCAUGAGUUUAGACCUGGGUCGAUGCAUAAAAAAACGUUUUAUAUUUAGAUACAGAGGUAGUAGCUACCAAGCUUUCUGGCCAUCCAAACCCAUUAGCAGUGGUGGAGGGACACAUAGGGCGGGGUAGGGCAGCCGCCCGACCUAACAGGUGUAGUAAAUAUUCCCUACUAUUCUGCUUCUAUGCCAUGGCCACAGGCCAGCUUGAGCUCAGGAUGGCAACUUUGCUGACUCAAAAGUCACCAGGACACAAGAUAGACGACCGAUGAGCGAAAUAUCAGGGCCUGAGCAGCUGGGCUUUACACAUUUAAGGCACAUGAGAGUUAAUCAGGCUAGGCUUUACUUACAUUCCUUUACGCUUAAACAUCAACGAAGCUUUCAUAUAGUUAAAAAUCGAUGAAAUGUCAAAAAAUGUAGUACAAGCUUGGUGAGGUAUUUUUGCAUGUGCUAAUUUCAUUUCAAUAUGUUUCUACACGGAUUUGUUGUCAUAAAUCUAACAUCAAAUACUCUUAUUAGUAUGUAUAAAACAACGAUCAUGAUUUCACCCUACCAAAAUUUCAUACCGUCCUCUGCCACUGUCCAUCAACAUGGCCAAAAUGGUUAGUUUAUCGACAAAAGUUUGGUGAUACAGCAUCAUUUUUAUUUCAAAUAAUAGUUACUCCCUCUGUAAACUAAUAUAAGAGCGUUUAGAUUACUAAAUUGGUGACCUAAACGCUCUUAUAUUAGUUUACGAAGGGAGUACAUAAUAAAAAUAAACCCAUUAAUGGUGAGGACAAUAUAGUCGAGCUUUCAAGCACCAAUCAACUACAAGAUGGUUAAUUGCUCUCCCAAAACAGACUUCUUUCGCUCAUUUGAUGGAACGAUGGUCAGGCCUGGAUCAACAUUACAGAGAUGUACUGAGUAUGUACUUGAUGUAAUAGACAUAUAUAAAGACACCCAGUUUACUGAUAUAGUAAUCACCAGUACAAAUAACAUAGCUAGUGACCUUGAAGUCCUAAAUGAAUCAAAGUUGUCAGAACAAUGGUAAGAGAGAACACCAGACACAAGGGUUCCUAAAAAAUUGGUCUGACCGAAUGUUGCUCUAAACACUGCAUGAAGUAGCCUUGGCGGUAAGGAGUCACAAGAGAAUCCGUCAAAAAAAGUUUCUCUGGCUUGUGGAUAAUUCGGUAAGUGGGAAUUUUACCAUCCAAGCUCAACAAUAUUGAAUUUACUUUUUCAUUUGUACUGCGCAUGUUUUCCAAUCUAAUUUUACUGGAAGAAGUCUUUUGAUUACACUGGUUAGUUCUGCAGACAAUUGCAAUGAUAACUUCACGGUUUUAAUUUGCACACCCAUGGAAAUUAUGAAACAGAAACUUCAGUUGGUCAAACUCUGAAGAAUUAUAUUUGUGACUUGCUCAGCACUCAUGAGCUGUAUGAUAAGAAAAAAAUGUGUACCUCAUAUGCUUACCUUUUAAUGCCGGAAUGCUAGGAUAACCGCAACGAUGAAAAGUACCAAGAGAGCAGCAUUCCCACCAGGCAAAAUAUCUUCACAUGAACCAGGUGACCUGGAGGAUGAAGAAGCAAAACAAAAAUGUUGAACAAAAUGGAAGUUUACAGUUUAGAUACUCAAAAUAUUGAUGCUAACCUACUCUUUUGAGGUUCUUAUAUAAUAAAUUAUAUCAUCCUUCACAAGAUUAAAUAUUUCUUGCACAUAAAAUGACCGCUAUCACAUAAAUUAGUAUAUUACAUGAUUCUACUCACACACGUAAUGACAAAAAGGCCAUCGUGUGCUCUGAAAGCUGGAGGCAAAAAAUCGACAGUUUGACUACAGAACGAACAAAGACAAACGAUUGCAUAACUGAAACUGAUAAAUCGUUAGUGGUUCCACAAACUAUACAGCGUCUGUUUAGAAGAAUGACAUGUUCACAUCCAGAAAAGAGGUAGAGGAAAGGGCCGGAGAAGUGUGUGAUUGCAUUAUGCAAGAACCUGAGAUGUCUUAUUGUCAGGCUAAUCUGAGUAGUACUAAAUGUCCUGUAGAAAAUUUUAAAGGGGCAGCAUGGUUUCAGACAAAAAAAGUGUAGCAGUGUUGAACUACAUUGUUUGCUGGUCAAGCUGGAGGGUCUGGGCACAGACAUUCAGACAAUUUCCCUAUUUACAGCCUUAUACUUUUACUAUCUCCAUAACUUUAUCUUCCCAAAUCACAUAUACUGAAUGCAAACUCGGAUACUAUAGCCAGAAAGUUUCUACGUUACAAUAAAUUUUGGUGGUCUUCUUGACAUUCAAAGAGCUGCAGACCUAUUUACUCUAUGUUGAGUUGAACAUAUAAAGCUAUAUCAUGAAAAGAAGUAACUGUAGCUGUGUGGAAACUCAACAGGUCCAGAGUAUUCAUACUUUGUUUGCAAGUUAUAGAACCAGCCACUUCGAACUUUAUACAUAAAUGUUGCUAGAAAACAUGCUAAACUCAUCUAAUUAAUGCAGAAGGAACACAUCAGUUAUCAGGAUUUUCCUGUGGAAACAAGGAUGGCACAAAGCAGAAGGUCUCAAAACGUGAAGUAUAAAAGGGGACUAGCACCAAUCAACAUUUUAUAUUUACUGAUAAGAAUUGGAGCCAUUUGAGUCAGUUAAACAAACACGGAACUGUUGAACAUCAGACAGUUGUGAGCACUUCAAGAAAUACUUAAUUAAGUUACUUAGUCCCCAUUCAGCAAUGCCGACGGAUAUUAGCCAAGGCAUUGAGCAUGAAUUAGCACCCCUGAUUACAUAUUUAAGUACUCUACACUUCAUUUUCCCAUUAUUUCAGCAUGUAUAUAUGACCAUUGGUGGUUGGUUUGGAUUUUAUAUUUUUUACCAAUGCUGCUAACUAUAUACAGUAGUAUGUAUAUUCUUUAAAAGAAAUAUGGCCUAGUGAACAUUACCUCUUCUUCCGUGACCGAUGAAUCCAGGCCAUUGCAGGAGGCAGGAUCCCAAACAAGAAGCAGUUUGCAUAAAUCCCGGCAAAAUCUAAUGCCUUGGCAAACGCUGUUGAGAAGAAUGAUACAAUAAAUAUGGGAAUGAUCAGCACUGCCAACGUAAGAACCACCUCGUUCCUGCCAUGACCACCACCAGCAUUGGACAACUCCACACUUCCUUGCUUCGGAGAAAAUCUGUUAACAAUCAACUGCAAAGUGUCUUCCAACUGCUUCGGGAAGCUGACUGCAUAUCCUAUCAAGCUCGUCGCCAAUGCAGCAAACGCAAAGCCUCGAACAGGAGCCAAUGCUGCUGGAUUCACCGAGAGAAGAAGCUUAAUAGGGUCAUCGAACCUUGCACUGCCGGUCGCACCUGCCAAUCCUAGAAUGACAGCAUUCCAUGACAAAACCAUGACCAAUGGUACAGCACCCCCAAUGAGAAUUGCCCUGCGUGCAUCAUACACCGAGUCACCUACAAUCUUGCAGAUGAAUGGCGUGAUCACGUGGAACCCAAGCGUGAGCACGGUGACCGGAAUGGCCGGCAAGAUGGCACCAGGGCUCCAGCACGCGUAGCCAAGCGAAUUCAGCAUGCUGCUCCGGCCGACGGAGACGCCUGUCACCACAAGCGACGUGAUCGAGACGAGCAUCAGGCCGCACAGGACGCGGUUGACGCCAUCGACAGCCUUGAACGGGAAGAACGCGAUGAGCACCCCGGCGAAGCACGGGAAGAGCGCGUUCGCCAAGACCGGAUUCACCGCGGGGAAGAGCUGGGAGACCAGCGAGCCGAUGCCGGCUACGCAGGCGACCAUCAGGGAGAAGCUCAGCGCAGCGUAGACGACGGCAACGACACCGCCAAAGGUUGCCCCCAAGGUGCUCGACGCAAGUCCUGUGAAGCUGACCUCGUCCACGCCCCCACUCUCCAUGGCCGCGAAGCUGAGCUCGGCGACGAGGACGAUGGAAGACACGACGUAGGCCCAGGAGAGCAGGAUGGCCACGGUGGAGGGGACCGUACCGGAGCGGAUGGUGGCCGACGGCAGCGCCAGCAUGCCUGGCCCGACCGCCGUGCCGAUGAUGAGGCUCACCGCCGCCCAGAAGCUCUUCUUCUCGCCGUCGCCGGACACACUGGCCUCGACGACGGGUGGCGGUUGGGCGGCAUCGGUGUUGCUGCACCGCCACCGCCAUUGCCGCCUUGGCAGUGGCCAUGGCCGUGGUGGGGGGUUCUUGGAUGCUAGGAUUGGGGCUCUGAGCGUUCUUGGCUUGAGAGGGCGGUGUCCACUGGGAGAGGGCACGGCGGUGAGCGGUGAGAAGGUGAGGUGGCGGCGGCAGCAGAGGAACAUGGCUGCUGCAAUUUGGCAGGUCAAAGGUAGGUUUUUUCCGCAAUUGCAAGGUGAAACACUGUGGCUUGGAGUUCUUCUUUGACUGCUGAAGACACUCAGAGAGUCCCUCAGAGAGGGAUUGGGUAGGCAGGUGAUUUUUAUUUUUUAUUUGGCGCUGGGACGCGUGGGUCGGAUCUGAUUGACUGAGCCGCCGAGAGUCACCAUUGCAAUUGCAACACAGGACGUGUUGCAAAAAAAUCUGUAACAUAUAUCUUUUUUACAACAAAAUUUAUUUUGCAUUUUUUUGCAACAGAGGUCUUAUUGCAAUUUUUUUGACAACAGAGAUCUCGUUGUAAUUUUUUAUUUUUAUUUCUGUAACAGAGGUCUUGUUACAACUCUUUUGCAACAAAGAUAUUGCUGCAGCAACUCACUAUAGAAUCGGGAUUAUUCUUGGAUUUUUUCACGAUUUUCAGCGAUGCGCGUUUAGUGGGAGAAGAUAUUUCUGUCGACUACGAGGCAUUUGCAAUGACUUUGUUAAUCUCAAGAUGAUAUGUCGGCUCAGUCUCUCGAAGGUGCUCAUAGGUGUAGGACUUGCGUGUGUAUUCAUAGGGAUGAAUGUAUGUGCGUAUAUAUGAGCGUCGGCGUCUGUACUGUGUUCUAAGAAAAGAAACUCACUAUAGCGGAUCAGUGACACCUGUCGCACGGAAGAGACGGCGGAUGCUUGCGUGCAAUUCGCCAGCUGAAGCCAAGCAUUUUCUUUUUUUUUUAUAAGAGCAAUUCUCUCAAAAACCUCUCCCUGUUGUACGUGCAAUGCACGUCAUGUUUGGGACUCCCUUCGAUUUAAAUAUGACGGGGCAGAUCUAAAACCUCUCCAAUGGCAAAUGGCAAGUGGGGCGCGAUUGUUGGGUUGGUGGAGAGGAGCUUCGUGCUCCCGUAGCAUGCUCCUCGCUUGCGAGGUUUGGUCCAUGGGCUUGCAGGGACUGGUGUUUUCUAGAAGUGGCAUGCUUUCUACGCGGAGGUGUGUGACUUCAACGAAAAUUGUGCAAUGCAUUCGUCGUUGCAGGGAACGACGAGUCUGUGGACGUCGUUCUCCUCCUCAGAGGCGUUGCUUUCAUGCCCAUCAUCUCUAAGUCUUCCGACAACCUCGUUUUUGCUAUGGUAGCCCUCCCUCGACGUCCACAUGUGCGGUGCCCUUGUGCGUGCAGCGAUGCCAAGGUUCACUCUAGGGCCCUCGUGAUGACGCCGGUUUUUCUCGUUGUGUUCUUGGCUUCUCUUAGACAGCGUGCUUCUUGGUUGGGAAGGCCAUCUCGGGAUCUGGGGGUUUGCUUCUUUUAGACAGCGUGCUUCUUGAUUGGGAAGGUCAUCUCGGGAUCUGGGGGUUUGCUAGGAUCGUUGCCAUGCCACAUGGGUCGCUGAGGUAUCACCCACUUGCCAGGUUCCAUCAAGUGUGAUCAGUGGUUGUCUACAAUCGUCUCCAGCGUUGGAGGUUGGAGCAUCGGCGAAAGCCUAGCUGGAUCUUUUUCUUGUCGAUAACGAUGUUUGUGGACACUGUUCUUCUCCUUGGAGACAUCGUUUUAUCUGCCUCUCCUCCUUUAAACUACUACUUCCUUGUACAACCUGGAACGUCGCUUCGUGUUCUCCUUGGGAGCGGUGCCCCGAGCUCUUCGAAAAUUUGAGCUCAUUGUCAAGAUCAAGUGGGCUCCUUUAGUUAUUUUUCUUUAGUUUAACAUUGCUUGCUUUUUGUUUACUAGGUUUCCUGCUUGGACCCUUUGUACUUAUAUUGUAAACCUAGAAUCCCCAAUGGGGUUGGUGUGGGUGUGAGCUAUCUUUGUAAGCUGUUCGGCCGUUGCUUUAUCUACAAAGAAAGCGAGGCGAAAAUCUUUUUCGGUAAAGUAAGAAGUUCAACAUAUGGACAAGAGGUGAGAGUAUCAGUGUACACAUAACCAAACAACCAAAUGUUGCAUCUAGGCAGCACAAACAUUAACCAAACGCGGUGCUUGUGUUUCUUCUCUCAUGUAACUCGUGACUUUGUGGGCAACCAAACGACUCGUGCACAACAUGGACUAGAGAUUGUAUUAUAUCACCCCAUACACACACCGAGGCACACUCCAGGGAAACACAAAAAAUAGCACGGCAAUCAAACACACCAUAUAUAAGCUUUUCUGCACUAGUAUAACUGCCGCACAUCUUAACAGAAGAUAAACAUCAUCCUCUCGGAUGCUCUUUGUUGCCAUAUUUUCCGCACAUGCGCAUAGAUACACAUAUGCGAUUAGUCCAUCGAUCGAGCAACAAGCUUAUUCACGCUCGAGCUAUUUAUAAAGUUACACGACCACUUCAGGAUAUUGGGUCGGGCAAUAAUGGUACCGCCC
rnacentral:lncRNA from 1 species